CUACGGGGCGCUCCAGUGGGGAAUAUUGCACAAUGGGGGAAACUCUGAUGCAGCAACGCCGCGUGGAGGAUGACACUUUUCGGAGCGUAAACUCCUUUUAUAUAGGAAGAAGAUGACGGUACUAUAUGAAUAAGCGCCGGCUAACUCCGUGCCAGCAGCCGCGGUAAUACGGAGGGCGCAAGCGUUACUCGGAAUCACUGGGCGUAAAGAGCGUGUAGGCGGAUUAAAAAGUCAGAAGUGAAAUCCUAUAGCUUAACUAUAGAACUGCUUCUGAAACUCUUAAUCUAGAAUAUGGGAGAGGUAGAUGGAAUUUCUGGUGUAGGGGUAAAAUCCGUAGAGAUCAGAAGGAAUACCGAUUGCGAAGGCGAUCUACUAGAACAUUAUUGACGCUGAGACGCGAAAGCGUGGGGGGCAAACAGGAUUAGAUACCCUCGUAGUC
rnacentral:rRNA from 1 species